AAAGGAAUAGACGGGGGCCCGCACAAGCGGUGGAGCAUGUGGUUUAAUUCGAUGAUACGCGAAGAACCUUACCAGGGCUUGACAUCUAUCUGACAGGGGUAGAGAUAUCCCGUUCCUUUUGGACAGAUAGACAGGUGCUGCAUGGCUGUCGUCAGCUCGUGUUGUGAGAUGUUGGGUUAAGUCCCGCAACGAGCGCAACCCUUACCGUUAAUUGCCAUCUGGGUAAUGCUAGGGCACUUUAGCGGAACUGCCGGUGACAAACCGGAGGAAGGUGGGGAUGACGUCAAGUCCUCAUGGCCCUUAUGUCCUGGGCUACACACGUGCUACAAUGGGCUGUACAAAGAGUAGCGAUACCGCGAGGUGGAGCCAAUCUCAAAAAACAGCCCGUAGUUCAGAUUGGAGUCUGCAACUCGACUCCAUGAAGUUGGAAUCGCUAGUAAUCGCAGAUCAGCACGCUGCGGUGAAUACGUUCCCGGGCCUUGUACACACCGCCCGU
rnacentral:rRNA from 1 species